rnacentral:rRNA from 1 species
AAAGUCUGAUGGAGCAACGCCGCGUGAGUGAAGAAGGGUUUCGCGCUCGUAAAACUCUGUUGUUGAAGAAGAACAUAUCUGAGAGUAACUGUUCAGGUAUUGACGGUAUUUAACCAGAAAGCCACGGCUAACUACGUGCCAGCAGCCGCGGUAAUACGUAGGUGGCAAGCGUUGUCCGGAUUUAUUGGGCGUAAAGCGAGCGCAGGCGGUUUUUUAAGUCUGAUGUGAAAGCCUUCGGCUCAACCGAAGAAGUGCAUCGGAAACUGGGAAACUUGAGUGCAGAAGAGGACAGUGGAACUCCAUGUGUAGCGGUGAAAUGCGUAGAUAUAUGGAAGAACACCAGUGGCGAAGGCGGCUGUCUGGUCUGUAACUGACGCUGAGGCUCGAAAGUAUGGGUAGCAAACAGGAUUAGAUACCCUAGUAGUCAA